UCCCCAGCUAUAGUGACACGAAAGCAAGGGGCUCUCUUUCGCGGCUUCCCUGCCUUCUUUUUAUUUUGUCAGUUUGGUGCCUCCUUUUCUUCUUUUUUCAUUUAUCAGUUUGUGUAAGAAAAAGGAGAAAAACUGAACACCACCAACAACACCAUCUCCUUUCUCUCUCUACACCUUUUCUUCUCCACGGCACCUUCCUUCUCCUUUUUUUCUUUUGUCUGUUUUGCGCUUUUUCUCUCUUUUCUGUUGGUCUAGUCUACAAAAAAAACAGGGUUGAAUUGAAAAACAUGAUUUCAGGUUAAGAAAUUCAAAAAAGAGAAAAAAGGAGACAAAAAAAUGAGUUCUUGUUCAUCUCUUAUUGCAAUCCACUGUACUUUUUAUUAGGGCAUCUCCAACGAUAAUGCUAAAUGAAAAGCCAAACUGAAAAAAUGCAAUUUUUUUGGCUUUUUAUCUCUAUUUAACUCACUCCAACGGGGAAAAUAGCAAAAUGCCAUUUCUCCCACAAAGAAGCCAUUCCUACAUAUAUUGAAAAAAGCCAAAACCCAGCUUACACCAAAACCCAGCUGAUUUUUCUUCAUCUUCCAGUACAUGUAGCCGUUGCUCCAACGACUCUUUCAAUUAUCCCCACAAAAACGAAACAAGAACAGGAAGAGAGAAUAAUAAGAAGCCUUCAAUUCUUAAAGCCAAAACCCUAGCUUCACAAUUAAUUGAAAACUCCAUAAUUUUCUCUGUGGCUUCGAUUCAACUUGGAGGUGUUCCUCAAUUACAUAUUCAACUUUUGAUUUUCUUAUCUUUUUAUUUUCUAGGAUUUCGACUAUGGUUUCUUACAAUUUCCAUGGUUAGUUAGUGGCUGUUGAUGCUUGGAUACAGUUUUCGUGCUAUAUUCUAAAACUAUAAAAUUUGUAGGAUACAUGUUAAUGCACUGGCAAUAUUUUGGAAUUUUAUUUAUUUGAAUUCCAGGUUGAUCUCUUAAAUGUUAAGGUGGAAAAUCUUUGAAGCCUUCUUGAAAAGCAGUGAAACAAGGAAGUGACUUUUCAUCUCAAACUAGAAGCAUAGCUCAGAACUUCCUAUUUGAAGAGGAUUUUCUUCUUCAUAGUACAAGGAUAUUCAGCAGCUUAAUUUUUGGACUUUCCUAGUUGUACAAGGAUCUUUAAUGGGCAACAACAUAGUUUCCAAGUGUGGUAAGUAUUUCUUAAUGUUUCAAAAUUCUUUUCCUAUAAGAAUUUCUUAUUUAUCCUAGCUACACAAGAAAAUGAGGGCGAAAGUAUCUAAUGGUAGAUUACUUUUGGAUUGAAGUAUUUCUUUGUAUUAAUAUGAAUUAUUUUAACAUUUUAUUUGUUGUUUAUUUUAUUAUUUGGAUAUUUAUAUUUAGUUUAGGGCUUGUGUUUUAGUUUGAGUUUAUUUUGGUUCAAAAUCAAUGUUUUAAUUAAGCUUGGGCUCAUUGACUUGUAACCCAAUAAAGGUCCAUUAGGGUUAUUUAAGAGGACUAUAUAUUGUUUUCUUUGCUGCAAAAUUCAGAAACCAUGAUGUUCUGAAUAAAAUUAUGUUUUGUGUGAUGUAACACUUUUUUCUUUGUUAGGACAAAUAUCAGCAACUAACUUAUUAA